UGCUGCUGCUCCUGCUGCUGCUGCCGUUGCUGCUGCUCCUGCUGUUCCUGUUGGAAAGCAGCAGCAGCAGCAGCAGCAGCAGCAGCAGCAGCAGCA
rnacentral:pre_miRNA from 1 species